UGCAGGAAUGGAUUAGCCCAAGUCUGCCACAUUUAAAGCAAAAGGAGGUGACUAGUUUUAAGCCUCUCUCUCUCUCUCUCUCAGUGGUCAGAUGGGCAUCCCAAAGCUACCACCCUCCGGCCAUCUGUCAGCCACUCCACCCCAUCAGCACGCUCUUCCUCUCCUCGCCAAUCUGUUCACUCUAUUUCUUCUAUCUUCAACCACCCCACUGCACCUCUUAACACGUUUCUCUCGCCUUCUUUACACUUGUGCUCUCUCCACUGGCAGUGUCUUCAGGCUUCCUUCUGCUUUCUUAGUUUUUAUACCAUAUUUGGUUUCACAAGAAACAAACACUCACACAAAGCCUGAGCCUGUUCCUCACAACCGUGUCUGAUCACAGACCACCACAAUCCCAAAGACCACGUUCAGAUCUUCUUGUUCAUUCUGAUAAUGGACAACUUUUUCACACCCAUUCCCACAACCAAGACAACCACCAGAGCCCCUUCACCCUUCGAAACCUCUCUCGUGUAUUAUUUUCCACCCCACGAAGGUCACCUGCAAUUUCCCCACGCAUUUCCUUUAGAUCAUGUUGGUCAGCAUUUGGCGUACCCGGCAUAUCCUUUCGUAAUUGGGGCGGGUCCGCAACCACAUUUGCUGUCGAAAGAACAAGAGAGAAGGCUUGUGGAUGCUUGGACAACCAAGGUUGCGAGGAGUAAGCGCAAAAUGGCACGCCAAAGGAGCCUCAGUUCAAGCAAAAAUCCUGCUUCCUGGGCUACUUCGACUCAGGUAUAUACCCGGGGACUGGCCGUGUACGGUGCUGAUGAUGCUGAGGCGCAGAACAGCAACAUCAAAAGAGAUCCCUACACGUUCUUCACUCCGGAUAAGAAGAAGCUUAGAGUUUUACUUAAAAAGGAGUUGAAGAAUAGCGAUGUUGGGUCCUUGGCAGGAUUGUGCUCCCCAAGAGAGAAGCAGAAGAAAACCUCCCAACCCUCUCUGAUAAAGAUGGAAUCCAAAUUGUGAUCCGAGAUGUGUACUCUAACCAAGAGUGGAGCGUGAAAUACAAGUAUUGGUCAAAUAAUAAGAGCAGAAUGUAUGUUCUUGAAAAUACAGUGGAUUUUGUGAGGCAAAAUGAGCUGGUGAUUGGAGAUUCCAUUACUCUUUACGAGGAUGAAUGCAAGAGUCUCUAUGUCACUAUUAAAAGGGGUGAAAGACCAGUAGUAGAAGAUCUAGAAGAUGAUGAUCAGCAGCAGCAGCAACCUGCAUACAGAAAAGACAUGAUGAUGAUGAGUAAUAGAAACCACAUGAUGAUGAGCUACAACGUCUGCCACAACCAAUAUUAUACCCCAUUUACAUACGGGAACAGAGAUCAUGAGGAAGAAGCAUAUCUUGCAUUACUCAUAGAGCAACUCAGACACAAGGAAGAACUUGAAGCUAACAGCCUUGCAACUUUGUCUAUUGGAUCAGGUCAUGCUGCUUCUUCUUCACAUAGGCACCCCCUGAUCUAAUAAUAUUAAUUAAUCCAUGCCGGCCAUUAUCUUAAUUCCAAGCCAAUGCGAUGCAACUUUUUUAAUUUUCUUGUACCAUUUUGCAUGGGACAUGAUUUAUCUGAUAAUAUUUUAUAAACAUAUAAUAUA